rnacentral:rRNA from 1 species
GAUGAACGCUGGCGGCGUGCCUAAUACAUGCCAGUCGAGCGAACAGACGAGGAGCUUGCUCCUCUGACGUUAGCGGCGGACGGGUGAGUAACACGUGGAUAACCUACCUAUAAGACUGGGAUAACUUCGGGAAACCGGAGCUAAUACCGGAUAAUAUAUUGAACCGCAUGGUUCAAUAGUGAAAGACGGUUGUGCUGUCACUUAUAGAUGGAUCCGCGCCGCAUUAGCUAGUUGGGAAGGUAACGGCUUACCAAGGCAACGAUGCGUAGCCGACCUGAGAGGGUGAUAGGCCACACUGGAACUGAGACACGGUCCAGACGCCUACGGGAGGCAGCAGUAGGGAAUCUUCCGCAGUGGGCGAAAGCCUGACGGAGCAACGCCGCGUGAGUGAUGAAGGUCUUCGGAUCGUAAAACUCUGUUAUUAGGUAAGAACAAAUGUGUAAGUAACUAUGCACGUCUUGACGGUACCUAAUCAGAAAGCCACGGCUAACUACGUG